AACCUAAUGUGUAAUGUGCUCAGCAUGUGCCUGUCAUGUAGCAAAGGCAUGAAUGAUGGUUGCUGGGUUUUGGGGCUUUAAAGCAUUUUAAUAAAAAUCUCUAAGGGGAAACCAUGCAUUUUUCUCUACUCUCAUGAGCAUUUAACACACAUUCUUCUCAGAAGCUGUACAUUUCAAAAUAAAUCUGAUGAGCACACCUUUAAAAUGCUUCCCUUUCCUUUCCCUAAAAUGUUCACUAAGGGAUUUUUCUAUAAAUGCUUUGGUAGCAAUUCCCAAAGUCACUGUACCAUUGCCGCCUCAAGCUUUGCGUGUUAGUCAUUUCACAUUUUACACUGAGAUUACACAAAGGGGCAUGCUUUUAAGGAGCAGGUGGAAAUCACUUUGAAUUACUUAUUUUAUAAGCCAUUUUGUUAGCAUAGAGUUUAUAAUCUCAUAUUUGUGUUCUCUCUGGAGGGUAAAAAUGAGUGUUUGGCUUCUAAAUAUUAAACUCUCGUUAGAGUGUUAUUCCCUUUUUAAGUCUUUAUGUAAUAUCUUUUGUUUUACAAAACUAGCUUGACAAAAGUAAGCUGAAGCCAGGAACGAGAGUUGCUUUGGAUAUGACUACACUAACUAUCAUGAGAUAUUUGCCAAGAGAGGUGGAUCCACUGGUUUAUAACAUGUCUCAUGAGGACCCUGGGAAUGUUUCUUAUUCUGAGAUUGGAGGGCUAUCAGAACAGAUCCGGGAAUUAAGAGAGGUAAUAGAAUUACCUCUUACAAACCCAGAGUUAUUUCAGCGUGUAGGAAUAAUACCUCCAAAAGGCUGUUUGUUAUAUGGACCACCAGGUUGGUAUUGAAUUAUUUCUACUCCACCAAUAAGAUAAAUGAAUUAAGGAAUUUAAAAAAAA
rnacentral:sRNA from 1 species